CAAUUUCUAGAUCCAUAUCCAUUUAACUUAACCCAUUACAAUUUAACCCUAUUUCCUAAUCUAUUCUUUUAAAACCAAUUCCAAAACCAUUUACAUCUUCAUGCAAAUUUCAACCAUAAAUUCAAUAAUUCAAUUCCAACAUUCAUCCUUUAAACAUUCUUUAAAUUCUCAUAAAUCAUAAAAAAAAAAAAACAUUCCAUAACGAUGAAUUAAUGUCAUUUGAAGACUACGUAUUCUCAUUCAAAACCUUUCCAUAAAAUUCAUUUCAUUCCAAAUCAUAAGCCAAAUCAAACCAUGCAUUCGAUUCAAUUUUUAACACUUUAAACCAUGUUCAAAUCAAUACAAUCCCUAGUUUCACGCACAAACCAUCAUUCAAUUUCUAAAAUUCAACCAUUAACAUCCAUGUUUCGUAAACGUUCAAUUUCCGAACUUUCAAUUACAUAGAUGCAAUUCCAAAUUCCAUUUACAUACAUACAUUUACACCUAUCUCCAAUUUAAGUACAAUUUGAAUCUAUACUUCAAUAGCCUAUGAUUCACUGUUCCAAAACCCAUACAAUCCAUUCCAAAACAGCCCAAUUGAAUCCAUUUUAAGCUCCAUUGUAACCCCAAGUCAUCCAACGUGAUUCAUAGCCAAGUGCCAAGCCCUACAUAAUCUGCCCUGCAUUCAAAAUGAGACAAAUGCAUCAUUUAGCAUUCAAUCUAAUCAAACAUGCAUACUCAUCAAAAUUCAAAGUGCAUAUGAAUAGGUAUACAUGUUCUAACAAGCAUACAUCUAGCAUCUAAUAACAAUGCCAUGCUUCAGUUCCCAACAGUACACCACCUAACUAAAAUCCUACUUAAUUCUAAAUACAAUGAAAGGUAGCAAUGUUUGUUCCUAGAAGAAUCCUAAGUUCAUUCCAAUUUAAAACCAACAAUAUAUCGUCAUUUUGCUGCUAAUAUAAACAAAAAAGAGGGGAACUCUUCAAGCAAGGCUGCCACACCAAGUGCA
rnacentral:lncRNA from 1 species